UAAUCUAGAUGUCUAGAUUUUGAUGUUGUCCAGAUUUUGGCUAUUUUACAGCUUUGGUUGUUGAGAAUUUAGGUCUAGAGUUCCUGUUUAGAAGUAACUGAAGUCUACCAGAGUGAGUGUAAACUAGUUUAUGGCAGCAGAUUACAUAUUGUGGUAUGGUUAAGGGUUACUAUAGAGUACUGUUAAGUCACAUAGUUGAGAUCAGAUGCAAUAAGCAAAGGACGAGUAAGAAAGUUAUUCCUGUGUUUUGUAUAACCACCAACUGCCUUAAACCCUCUCUCAUUUGAGUCCAGUCGGGGAAUAAAAACCCAUAAAAUUUAUUGUGUGUUUGGCCUUAUCAUUCCUGGCCUGGCCACAUUUAAUUUCAUUGGACAAGAGACAAGAAAAGGAGAAGAUAAAAAAAAAAGAAAAAAAAGCACCGACCCUGAGAAUUCUUUGGCUCUCUUGACGUCCUCUAACUGCUGCAGAUGUUCCUCUUUUGCAUUUUGUAAGCCGCUUUCAUACUGAUCUACAAUAAACAGUGUUGUAGACCAUCAACAUAGAUACUGCAUAGGCUGAGUAUUUACUCAUGACAUUUAAAUAAACAUUUAAAAUGCAUUAAAUACCUUUCAGAUUCUGCAUUGCAGUUUUGUGCUCUCGUACGCUGUGCUGGAGUUGACGACAGGCUUUCUCUAAGUGUCUCUGGAGCUCCUGGUUCUUCUUCUGCAGCUUACUUACAGUCUCAGAGCACUCCUUUCUGCAACGAGUCUGCUCCUUCCUCUGGGACAAAGAGCCUGGAAACAGAGUACAGUUAUCGCCAUGUAAACUUGUUGAUGGGCACUAUCACACUACCGUCUAAUCAAAAUGGAUGGUUUUUUACAAUGUCCUGCUGAGUGAAGAGAUGACAAGAGCACAUUACAUACUUUGCAUUUUGCUGAUUGCUCUCUCAUGCUGUUGCUGUGUUUCUUUUAACACAUGACUCAGUCUCUCCUCACUUAUCUGUGGGGGCAAGAAUGAAACCAUAAAGGGUUUAACCAAAUUAUAAACAUUUUACCUCAUAAAAUAGACAAAAUUCAGACAAAUCAUAAUUGAAUGCUACAGAAUUUAAUCAUAGCAGUACUUCUUGUGGUAAAGGAAAAGGAGAAGCUGUCCGCACACUGACCUGCACUUGCAGGUUGGAAUGUUGCAUUAGUAAAAUCUUGGGAGCUUGCAAAUUUAUGUGUAAGACGGCUUAUCAUUUUCCUUUGCUGUUUUUUCACCACAUAACUUGACCUUCCUUUUUUGCUUUGUGUAGUUCUUGUGCAAGAACGCUCUAACCUUUGCCUUCUGCAGACUCAGUAAAUGAAUCAUUCUGCAUAGUGGAGUGUCAGUUCGGGUUGGACGAUCUACUCUAUUUUCACAUCGUCUAAUCAUGGCUACUUGAGAUCACCAAUUGGCGAUUUGAUUGCCAGGGGGCGGUGUUAUGUUACAGCAUGCCAGAGAAAUGCCAGCAUGGAAGAAAUAGGUUUUUUAGCUUUAAGAGAAACCACCAGAAACAUCCGUGAAUGCACAGUACAGUGUUUCCCACAGAAUGAAUUACUAGGUGCGUAAAUAGCUAUCAACUAGCAGCUAUGUACAGCGUGCUAACCUCAACAACCCAGCAGUAUUCUAAAGUUAACAUAGCUACCUAUACUAGCUAGUCUCCAUACAUGCUUGCUUAUAACUUACUUGAAGGUGGGUCUCCGACAUUGACAGCAUUGUGUUAAGAAAAUAGAUAAUCUAACUUCUCAUAAGUUAACUUGAAUGUAUUAAGUUACAAAUGGCUCUGCUUCAAUGUGUUUGUGAGAGAGGGGGAGAGAGUGAGAGCGAGCAAGCAGAGGUGCUGAGUGAAUCUACGCACUAUGUGCAGGUCCACAAUUAUGAUUUUACUCAUAUUAAAUAGUAUACUGAUAGUGAGUUAGUUAAAAUCGCCUAAAUAUCGGCACAUGAAAAACCAAUCGCUGAACAUCCCUUCAAUCCGCGAUAGCUGAUCCAAUCGCCAAUCGGAACAAGCCUAGUGACAGUCCUACAUGAUUAACAGAUAAAAUGCCUUACUUUUUUAGACAACAGACAAUCCAAUCCCAACUCACUUUCUUCCACUCGGUCUUGGCUUGAGAUACUGCUCUGUUGACUAUGUCUUUGCAGAAUGUUUGGAUGAUGUGUGUUAUUGUGCCCUCUGAUGUGGCCCCGCUGGUCCUCCUGAUGUCUUCAGUGUCCUGCUGAUCUGUUUUGGGAUCUCUGAGAAGUUGUGCCUGGACCUCUGCCAGAGCAGUCUGCAGCUCUGCUAGUAAUUCUCCUCUCAUCUGCUGUCUGCUGGCGUGCUCCUUCUCUGCAUGCUGACAUCUCCACUCCUCCUUUCGGGCCCUCAGCGUUUGCUGUAGCUUGGCCUCCAUCUGCAAGAGCAGCUCCUUUUUCUGGAGGGCCAAGUCCUCUCUGGCCUGCUGCAAAGCCUGCUCCAGCUUUUUGCACUGCUCUUGCACCUUAGUUUGAUGCACCUGCUCACUGCGGAGCUGCAUGGCAGAGAUCUCUUGUUGUUUGUCUCUGUUCCAGGCUGCUUUAGCUCCGGCCAGCUCAGCCUUCAGUAGGGCCGUUUGCUCUCUCCUCACUUGCUCCAGCUGAGUCUGGAGAGCUGCCACCUCCUCUUGGAGCUCCUCCACCCUCUGUGUUCCAGAGCUCUGCUCCUCCAACUGGUUCUUGUGCUUCUUAUGCCACUGCUCCUCGGCCUCCUUCAGAGCCUGGGUUAUCUGACACAUUCAAAUUAAAAUAUAAAUGAUCAGAAUACAAAAGCCAGUUGACAGCAGUGACAAUUUUGUAACUCACAAAAAGAAAACCUUUAUAUACCCUUUGUUCGGUGUGUUUUUCUUCUACUUCUUCCCAUUUCUCCCUCUCUGUUUGUAGAGAGUCUUGGUAUUCUGGUAAUGAAGUGAAAUCCUCAAUCCAGUGAUUGUAGGCCCUCGUUACUGCACCUUCAACCUGAAAAACCAACUGUCCACUACUAAAUGUGUCAACCCCUAAUGAAGGCAAAAUAGCUGAAAAUGUUUGGGCAAUAGAGCAUGGUAUGUAUAUAUUUUUUUUUAUGGACAACUAAUUGAUUUGAUGAUUUCAAAUAAUUGAGGGAUGAAUCAGAUAAAACGUUGUCUAUCUGGGAAACUGUGUGAAAAAACUGAGGAGAAAAAAAAAUGUAACACAGCCUUAGCAAGUCUAGUGGCCUUGGAAUGAUUCCAAUUGGUGCCACUCGCACUUUGCUAACUAGCACAAGUAUUAUUAAAAACAAACAAACACUGACCUGUUUGGCCAUGUCCUCCAAGUGUUUCUCAUGUAGCUCUCUCUGGGUUUGUUUCCUUGCUUCCUCCACAGCUUUGCGUUUGACUUUGUCAGCUUCCAGUUGCAGCUCCUGUUUCUGGGCACUGAGCCUGGAGUCCAGCUCCUCAACAGAAAUUGUCACACUGCUGGCCUCAGUCUCAUCUGCCUGACAGGUAGCCUCAGCAGUUUCCCUGUGUUUCUCUCUCCUAGCCUCCUCCAGCUUCUGGACCCAGGUUUUCUCUAUCUGCACAGAAGCAGUAAAAACUUUCAGGUCUAACAUAAAAUCGCCAUCAGGGAAUUGAGGGAGCUGGAUAGUAAUUUCAGGAAAUCAUACCUUUUGUAGUUCCUCCUUCCAAGCACCCUUGGCCACGGAUACCUGAGAGUUCACCUGCAGCUGGAUCUCUGUCUCCUUUUCUUUGGACCAGAGAGCUUUGAGCUGGUUUAUUGAGGCCUGAUGCUGAGCCUCAAGCUCAGCCCGCAGCUUCUCCAUAGCUGUGCCACUCUCCUCUCUCAUGUUUUGCUGGGAAUGAGAACCAAACCAUUCUCAGUCCACAGGUAUUCAAUGUUGGCUACAGGCAACGCCAUCAGUGAGAAACAGACUUGUGCAAUACAGCGUGUAGCAAUACAGUAAACAAAUAGUAGAAAAUACUAAAAGCUUUGCAUCCCAGAUGAGUCAAUACAUACAAAAUCAGUACAAAAGUAAAUUAUAAUAAAUAACUUACUAAUAUGAAUCAACACAGUUUAGUCGUUUAUAGGUUUGGCGAGCGUAAGAAGUGCGUCCAACUGUUUCUGAUAUUACAUACCUCAAUUUCCCUGAUCAAAGCCUCCUCCUUCAUCCUGUUGCGUACACUUUCUUCAAGCAUGUCCUUUUCCUUGCAGACAGAUAUGUAACAUUCUUGCACAGCCAACAUCUUAUCAUUGGCCUCAGACAGCUGGGUCCUGUGAAGAAGUACUGUAAAUGAGCUGAAACGUUUUCCAGAAAACUACGAUUUUCAGUGACAGGUGCAGAGGACUUACUGUAACUGUUGGACCUGCUGUUGGUGCUGUGCAGUCAGCUGUUCAACAAGACCAUUGUGUUCCAGCAUGAGCUCCGUUCUGAUCCGGUUCACGACAUCGUCCCUAUACUGCUGAUGAAUACGCUCAGAUCUCCAUGAAGAAACAGAAACACUACCCAGGCACCGCUGCAUCUCCACUCGCAGCAGUCGCAACGCUUCGUCUUUGGGCAGCUUGGAGUCCGAAAGGGCCUUGGCUGAUUGAGCCUGUUGUAGUUUGAUUUGCAUCUGAGUCGUCUCCUGCACUGAACCUGAAGAAAACAGUACCGCAACAGAGAAGAAAAGCUUAUUUGGAAUUGAGCGAAUUAAAAAUAAAACACACCUGCAGAGAA